GAAAAUGCCGAAUAUGUGCGUAUGAGCGGAACGCGCGACAAGGUGAUGACAAAGACGUGUUUGUCUGCUGCGUAGAAGACUCAAUGGCAUUGUAUACCUGGGCCAAUAGCCAGUCCGUGUAUGGAGAAAUCGGAGCGAUCAUCAGGACUAUCCACAAAAGGCUAUCGUGCGCCAAGCCCGGCCUGUCACGACGAUGGACGGAUUACGCCGGUUUCACGUGGGGUAUGCGGCCACAAGAAACAGAACCUGAUCAAGGCUAAAGCCAAACGUCUUCUCUGCAUCGGGGUCAUCCACCUGGUACGGUCGCUCUUCUGCAAGUCAACGAGCAAGAAACAGAGAUGAAAGGGAAGUAAAAAAAAUAAAUCCUAAAGUUCGUCCA